GACGAACGCUGGCGGCGUGCUUAACACAUGCAAGUCGAACGAAAAGAGGGAAAGAGCUUGCUCUUUCCGGAAUUGAGUGGCAAACGGGUGAGUAACACGUAAACAACCUGCCUUCAGGAUGGGGACAACAGACGGAAACGACUGCUAAUACCGAAUAAGUUCCAAGAGCCGCAUGGCCCAUGGAAGAAAAGGUGGCCUCUACCUGUAAGCUAUCGCCUGAAGAGGGGUUUGCGUCUGAUUAGCUGGUUGGCGGGGUAACGGCCCACCAAGGCGACGAUCAGUAGCCGGUCUGAGAGGAUGAACGGCCACACUGGAACUGAGACACGGUCCAGACUCCUACGGGAGGCAGCAGUGGGGAAUCUUCCGCAAUGGGCGAAAGCCUGACGGAGCAACGCCGCGUGAGUGAUGACGGCCUUCGGGUUGUAAAACUCUGUGAUCCGGGACGAAAAGGCAGAGUGCGAAGAACAAACUGCAUUGACGGUACCGGAAAAGCAAGCCACGGCUAACUACGU
rnacentral:rRNA from 1 species